CACGUAGGGGGCAAGCGUUAUUCGGAAUCACUGGGCUUACAGGGUGCGUAGGCGGCCAGACAAGUAGGGUGUGAAAGCCCCCGGCUUAACCGGGGAAUGGCGCCCUAAACUGUAUGGCUGGAGUGAGAUAGGGGUGUGCGGAACUUCCGGUGGAGCGGUGAAAUGUGUUGAUAUCGGAAGGAACGCCGGUGGCGAAAGCGGCACACUGGAUCUCAACUGACGCUGAGGCACGAAAGCCAGGGGAGCGAACGGG
rnacentral:rRNA from 1 species